UACGUAGGGGGCAAGCGUUAUCCGGAAUCAUUGGGCGUAAAGCGCGUGUAGGCGGUUCACCAAGUCCGCUCUGAAAGCCCAGGGCUCAACCCUGGGAGGCGGGUGGAUACUGGUGGACUAGAAUCCGGAAGAGGAGAUUGGAAUUCCUGGUGUAGCGGUGAAAUGCGCAGAUAUCAGGAGGAACACCAACAGCGAAGGCAGAUCUCUGGGACGUGAUUGACGCUGAGACGCGAAAGCGUGGGGAGCAAACAGG
rnacentral:rRNA from 1 species